rnacentral:rRNA from 1 species
AGAGUUUGAUCCUGGCUCAGAAUCAACGCUGGCGGCGUGCCUAACACAUGCAAGUCGAACGAGAAAGCCCCGGCUUGCCGGGGUGAGUAAAGUGGCGCACGGGUGAGUAACACGUGGAUAACCUACCCUUCAGUGGGGAAUAACUCUGGGAAACCGGAGAUAAUACCGCAUAAUAUCCGGUGACUGCGGUCGCUGGAUUGAAACCCGGAAACGGGGCUGAUGGAGGGGUCCGCGGCCGAUUAGCUAGUUGGUGAGGUAACGGCCCACCAAGGCGAGGAUCGGUAGCCGGCCUGAGAGGGCGGACGGCCACACUGGAACUGAAACACGGUCCAGACUCCUACGGGAGGCAGCAGUGGGGAAUUUUGCGCAAUGGGGGCAACCCUGACGCAGCAACGCCGCGUGGACGAUGAAGCCCCUUGGGGUGUAAAGUCCUUUCGGCAGGGACGAAGCCCGAGCAAUCGGGCGGACGGUACCUGAAGAAGAAGCCCCGGCUAACUCCGUGCCAGCAGCCGCGGUAAUACGGGGGGGGCAAGCGUUGUUCGGAAUUAUUGGGCGUAAAGGGCGUGUAGGCGGUGCGGCAAGUCUGGUGUGAAACCUCCCGGCUCAACCGGGAGCCUGCAUCAGAAACUGCCGUGCUAGAGUGUGGGAG